rnacentral:rRNA from 1 species
UACGUAGGGACCAAGCGUUGUUCGGAUUUACUGGGCGUAAAGGGCGCGUAGGCGGCGCGGUAAGUCACUUGUGAAAUCUCUGAGCUUAACUCAGAACGGUCAAGUGAUACUGCUGUGCUAGAGUGCGGAAGGGGCAAUCGGAAUUCUCGGUGUAGCGGUGAAAUGCGUAGAUAUCGAGAGGAACACCUGAGGUGAAGACGGGUUGCGGGGCCGACACUGACGCUGAUGCGCGAAAGCCAGGGGAGCAAACGGG